rnacentral:misc_RNA from 1 species
AACGCACAUUGCGCCCGCCAGCACUCUGGCGGGCAUGCCUGUCCGAGCGUCAUUUCAACCCCUCAGGCCGGGCGGCCGCCAGACCGGCGGCCCCCCCGCGCCUGGUGUUGGGGCGCUGCGAGCCCACCGCGGCCCGCAGGCCCCCAAAGACAUCGGCGGGCCCGCGCGGGGCCCCGAGCGCAGUAGACACACCUCUCGCUCCGGGACCCCGGCGGGCGCCCAGCCGCCCCCAACCCAGCUACAGAAAUGUUGACCUCGGAUCAGGUAGGAAUACCCGCUGAACUUAA